GGUCUUGUAGUGUAGUGGUUAUCACUCGGGAUUUUGACUAUUGCCCACCUGGUUGCAUGCAAAUUUCCCGAAACCCAGGUUCGAACCCUGGCAAGACCU